rnacentral:rRNA from 1 species
AGUGAACCAGUACCGUGAGGGAAAGGCGAAAAGAACCCCGGCGAGGGGAGUGAAAAAGAACCUGAAACCGUGUACGUACAAGCAGUGGGAGCCUCUUUUAUGGGGUGACUGCGUACCUUUUGUAUAAUGGGUCAGCGACUUAUAUUCUGUAGCAAGGUUAACCGAAUAGGGGAGCCGAAGGGAAACCGAGUCUUAACCGGGCGUUAAGUUGCAGGGUAUAGACCCGAAACCCGGUGAUCUAGCCAUGGGCAGGUUGAAGGUUGGGUAACACUAACUGGAGGACCGAACCGACUAAUGUUGAAAAAUUAGCGGAUGACUUGUGGCUGGGGGUGAAAGGCCAAUCAAACCGGGAGAUAGCUGGUUCUCCCCGAAAGCUAUUUAGGUAGCGCCUCGUGAAUUCAUCUCCGGGGGUAGAGCACUGUUUCGGCAAGGGGGUCAUCCCGACUUACCAACCCGAUGCAAACUGCGAAUACCGGAGAAUGUUAUCACGGGAGACACACGGCGGGUGCUAACGUCCGUCGUGAAGAGGGAAACAACCCAGACCGCCAGCUAAGGUCCCAAAGUCAUGGUUAAGUGGGAAACGAUGUGGGAAGGCCCAGACAGCCAGGAUGUUGGCUUAGAAGCAGCCAUCAUUUAAAGAAAGCGUAAUAGCUCACUGGUCGAGUCGGCCUGCGCGGAAGAUGUAACGGGGCUAAACCAUGCACCGAAGCUGCGGCAGCGACACUGUGUGUUGUUGGGUAGGGGAGCGUUCUGUAAGCCUGUGAAGGUGUGCUGUGAGG